rnacentral:rRNA from 1 species
UACAGGGGGGGCAAGCGUUGUUCGGAAUUACUGGGCGUAAAGGGUCUGUAGGUGGCCAACUAAGUCAGACGUGAAAUCCCUCAGCUUAACUGGGGAACUGCGUCUGAUACUGGAUGGCUCGAGUGUGGGAGAGGAAUGCGGAAUUCCAGGUGUAGCGGUGAAAUGCGUAGAUAUCUGGAGGAACACCAAUGGCGAAGGCAGCUCGCUGGGACGUUACUGACGCUGAGACGCGAAAGCGUGGGGAGCAAACAGG